CCAGAGCAACCGUUAUGUGAUAAUAUCGUCAUUUCGAACAGAAACGACGGGUUUAAACCGGAUAAAUCAAAAGUCAAAUUAGUUUUAUCGCUACUAAAACCUAGUGGAAAUUUCUGGUCAUUUCGAUGGUAUUCUACCCUUGUACAGCUAUAAUAUCUCAAAACAUAUUUCUGAGACGAGUGCACAAAAAAUGUCUACGUUUAUUUUGAAUUUUUUGAUUUUUUUUUUUUGGAAAUCCGGCUCGGGAUAGUUUGAUCUUAUGAAAAUAUCUAUACAAGUAUU